rnacentral:rRNA from 1 species
UGCCAGCCGCCGCGGUAAUACGGAAGGUGCAAGCGUUGUUCGGAUUGACUGGGCGUAAAGCGCACGUAGGCGGGUUUAUAUGUCAGAUGUGAAAUCCCAGGGCUCAACCUUGGAACUGCAUUUGAAACUGUAGAUCUUGAAUGUCAGAGGGGUUUGUAGAAUUCCAGGUGUAGGAGUGAAAUCCGUAGAUAUCUGGAGGAAUACCGGCGGCGAAGGCGGCAGACUGGCUGUACAUUGACGCUGAGGUGCGAAAGCGUGGGGAGCAAACAGGAUUAGAUA